AUCGAUGAAGAACGCAGCGAAAUGCGAUACUUGGUGUGAAUUGCAGAAUCCCGUGAACCAUCGAGUCUUUGAACGCAAGUUGCGCCCGAAGCCUUGGCUGAGGGCACGUCUGCCUGGGUGUCACGCAUCGCGUUGCCUCCAAACCCUUCACCCUUCGGACGAUGCGGUGAUGGGCUGGAUGCGGAAGCUGGCCUCCCGUGGCCACGAGCCACGGAUGGCCCAAACACAUGCUCGGGAAGCGAAGCGCCACGGCAUUCGGUGGUUGAUCCAAGCCCCAUAAGCAGUGCCGGCGGUNGCCGCAUCUGUCCCUAGCCCACGACCCUAAACGUCAACCAACGCGACCUCAGGUCAGGCGGGGCUACCCGCUGAGUUUAAGCAUAUCAAUAAGCGGAGG
rnacentral:rRNA from 1 species